UUGCACUUUCACCACGCUGUGAAGUUCAUAUUUUAUUUCAUCUGUAGACUCAUAAACUGCACGCUUUCCCGACGAGUCAUAGUGGGAGGAGCACAGCAUGCUGGGAGAUCUCAAACUGAGGAUAAGGAAGGAACUAGAGGAAGUACAUGAGCCGUGAUAAAUUCCAACCAUCUCCUAACCACACACAAACUCUUGGUUGACACAAUUGUGCCAUUACUGCUCUGUGAAUCAGCGUAAAUUAAACUACCUCAACUGGAA